rnacentral:lncRNA from 1 species
GUCACACCAACCUUUCAUUACACUGUGUUUUCUGCCGACUUGAGAUACGCUUCCGCCUCAAUGAUUCCCCUUUCAUUCAUUCAUUCAUUCGUUCUUUUCAAAGAUCCGCCUCCUUCAGGCACUUUAAUCUUAUCAUUAACGGUGAGUGAAGAUCCAAUAGAAUAGCUUGGAUUCGUCAACAAGGGUUAAAAAUAUCAUCAACGGCGAUAUUGGAAGUGAAGAUCCGAUAGAAUAAAGGUCAAAUGACAUAUGCAAGGAAUCGAAGAGGCAAACAAUUAACGCUGAAGACGUAUUCAAGGCCCUUGAAGAUAUCGAGUUUCCAGAAUUCAUUGCACCACUAAGAGCCUAUCGAUUUGGACCACUAAAAAGUCGUGCUGCCAAGGCGAUCGGUUUUAUUUUUAUUGAUGUGAUGAUUGAUUAUUCGUUAGAGAAUGCACCACUACAAAAAGAAUUAUCAGCAGAGGAAGUGGGAAUUGUUGCUGCUUUUCAAAUAAAGUUGUUUUGACCCGCGUAUAUAAGCAUCUAAAAAACCAAGGUGGUGGUCAGUCGGUUGCCUCUGAGUAGUCAAAAAAUUGAGGACUUCACCAAUAGAGAAACUUCCUAGGUUGUCAACAUCGGCACAUCAUGAUCUACCUUAUAAGAGAAAGAAGACUAGAAACGGGUGUAGCGCAUUUAAAACCUCUAUGGUAAACAAAGUGGGAUUUUUUUUUUUUUUUUUUUUUUUUUUUUUGUGCAGAUUUGCUAGCUCUCAUUGAGGUUCUUACCAUCUAUUAUCCAAAUAAUCUUGUGGGGAUCACACAAAUUACUCAAGUUUUUCAAGAUACUGACAUUGGUUAAUCAAGAUAAUGACAAAACUGCACUUCAGACAAUUGCUUCUUUGAAGAAAGGUGCAUAUAUUUUGAAGUACGAUUGAAGAGGAUAGCCUAAACUUUCUCCUUUCAGGUACAAAAACUUUGAUCUGAUUUUCGGUCAAGCAUCAAUGUGGUCAUUGGACAAUAAGUGCGAAGAAAACGAACAAAAAAACAUUCUUUCUUCAUGUUUUUUGAUAAACUUGGUAGCUUAUAACUGUUGUUUGUUACUACAUUGCACCAAAAGUGUUAGUUGAACUGUAGCAAUGGUUCAAAAAGACUACAAGUGCACCACAUGGUGGUUAUGUUGAGAAAUUUUCAUAUAUUGUCAUAAAAGAUUUCUAUUUUUUUGGUUGUAUUAGUACGUUGUUAUUU